rnacentral:lncRNA from 1 species
AAUAAAAUCACUAAAGUACUAAAACAUAUUUAAAAUUACUACAAUUUUCGGCCAAAAAAAACGGUCACCACCACAUGCACACAUCGCAGUGCACGGGAGACCCGAUUUUCCACAUUCACAACGACCGUGGCAUUCUUUCUUACAUCCACAAUGUACAAGCUUCUGACAAAAUGAUGAGGCCUCAAAAAGAGUUUUUAAAAAGUUAUCCUCUUUGUCCCCGCCUGGACUGGGUAGCAUAAGAGCCAAUCCCAAGCUCGCCUCCCUAAACACUUACCUAAGUAUAUUGCAUGUUUUACAUGCUGGAAAAGACUAGACCAAGUUGAGGGAAUAGCCUCAAAAAGCCUUCCCUUUUGCGCAAAUAGUUUUUUUCCUGCUUCGUUAGCCAUGUUUUAUCCAUCUGUUAAGUUUUUGCGAUCUUACAGUAAAACCCCGUUUCUGUUAAAGUCACAUCUUCAAAUGCCAUCAAUGUCUUCCACGCAGUCUUUUUCUUUUCUUUUCAAGCAAAGAGAGAACCAUAUCACAACCGGUUAAGGCAUGGAUAACAAUAAGUGUGUGUGAUCACUCAUUGCCUUGUGCAUUUGAAAGGCCAUUAAUAAAUAUUAAUCCAAAGUCUUUUGCCCUCCCAAACACAAUCCAUGGUUUGUCUACCCCUAUGUCACGGAAUAGCGAAACAGUAAUGACAGCAUCAUAGUUAACGACUGUUCGAAUCAUGACUCGUUUAAGUUCGUGUUUCACUGCAUCAGACAC